rnacentral:miRNA from 1 species
AUAUAUAUAUAUAUAUAUAUGUGUGUGUGUGUGUGUGUGUGUAUAUAUAUACAAAUCAAUACAGAUUUAUGUUU